GGAUGCUGGAAGAGCUAAUUCCCAUGGAUGACCAGCAGGAGGCUCCGCAGGGCUGGACAGCAGGGCUGGCUGCUGGUGAAUGGGCUCACAAAAAACGAUGUGGAGAAGAAACAUUAGACCAGACCACUGACCCAGCCAGGAGACUCCAAAUGGUUCAAACAGAGAGUUGUACAGAGACAAGUCACAGCAGCUCAGCAAUGGUUCUUCAGAGGACUUGGAGAAUCUGGACACCGAAUGCUCCGAAGGAGCAAAUGGAUUGGGCCUGAUCCGGUAUUGCCUAGACCCCAAACCAGAUGCUCAACAGGAUGCUGAGAGAGAAGAGAUGCUUAUUCUAUAGGCCAGUACGAUCUAACAUUGAAGAAGAAAUAUGGCGUCAAGCCUGUGUGAGGCCAUAACCACCAAGUGUGCAAUUGUGUGAGUUAUCAGGCACUGCCGGAGAAAGAUGUAAUCUGAGGGCUGCCCAGGUGUGUCAUAGAUGUCCCCAGCCAGAGGAGUCAUGACUGUGUGAACUGGACUGUAGAUGAUGUGAACUGUAAAAUCAGAGUAAUUAGUGGUAAUUUGUGCUUUGGGAAUGUUUUAAAUAUUCUCAUCCCACUGGGAUACCCACUGCAGUGCCUCUGUUUAACCCAGGAACAUUUAGCUCAAGGGGCAGAGCUGGUGGACCAAGUGACAGAAGCAGAGAUCCCAGACAGAGUGUUCAGUGAAAUAAUCAAACCGACAGAGAGAACAGAGUUAGUGUCAGAAAUGUGAAGGCCAGAAGUGCCCAUUGUGACCAUCUACUCUGGCCUCUUGCAUUAUCCAGGGGACAGUUUCAC